GACGAACGCUGGCGGCGUGCUUAACACAUGCAAGUCGAACGGAAAGGCCCCUUCGGGGGUACUCGAGUGGCGAACGGGUGAGUAACACGUGGGUAAUCUGCCCUGCACUUCGGGAUAAGCCUGGGAAACUGGGUCUAAUACCGGAUAGGACCCCGAGGCGCAUGCCUUGGGGUGGAAAGCUUUUGCGGUGUGGGAUGGGCCCGCGGCCUAUCAGCUUGUUGGUGGGGUGACGGCCUACCAAGGCGACGACGGGUAGCCGGCCUGAGAGGGUGUCCGGCCACACUGGGACUGAGAUACGGCCCAGACUCCUACGGGAGGCAGCAGUGGGGAAUAUUGCACAAUGGGCGCAAGCCUGAUGCAGCGACGCCGCGUGGGGGAUGACGGCCUUCGGGUUGUAAACCUCUUUCACCAUCGACGAAGGUCCGGGUUUUCUCGGAUUGACGGUAGGUGGAGAAGAAGCACCGGCCAACUACGUGCCAGCAGCCGCGGUAAUACGUAGGGUGCGAGCGUUGUCCGGAAUUACUGGGCGUAAAGAGCUCGUAGGUGGUUUGUCGCGUUGUUCGUGAAAUCUCACGGCUUAACUGUGAGCGUGCGGGCGAUACGGGCAGACUGGAGUACUGCAGGGGAGACUGGAAUUCCUGGUGUAGCGGUGGAAUGCGCAGAUAUCAGGAGGAACACCGGUGGCGAAGGCGGGUCUCUGGGCAGUAACUGACGCUGAGGAGCGAAAGCGUGGGGAGCGAACAGGAUUAGAUACCCUGGUAGUCCACGCCGUAAACGGUGGGUACUAGGUGUGGGUUUCCUUCCUUGGGAUCCGUGCCGUAGCUAACGCAUUAAGUACCCCGCCUGGGGAGUACGGCCGCAAGGCUAAAACUCAAAGGAAUUGACGGGGGCCCGCACAAGCGGCGGAGCAUGUGGAUUAAUUCGAUGCAACGCGAAGAACCUUACCUGGGUUUGACAUGCACAUGGACGCGUCUAGAGAUAGGCGUUCCCUUGUGGCCUGUGUGCAGGUGGUGCAUGGCUGUCGUCAGCUCGUGUCGUGAGAUGUUGGGUUAAGUCCCGCAACGAGCGCAACCCUUGUCUCAUGUUGCCAGCGGGUAAUGCCGGGGACUCGUGAGAGACUGCCGGGGUCAACUCGGAGGAAGGUGGGGAUGACGUCAAGUCAUCAUGCCCCUUAUGUCCAGGGCUUCACACAUGCUACAAUGGCCGGUACAAAGGGCUGCGAUGCCGCGAGGUUAAGCGAAUCCUUUUAAAGCCGGUCUCAGUUCGGAUCGGGGUCUGCAACUCGACCCCGUGAAGUCGGAGUCGCUAGUAAUCGCAGAUCAGCAACGCUGCGGUGGAUACGUUCCCGGGCCUUGUACACACCGCCCGUCACGUCAUGAAAGUCGGUAACACCCGAAGCCAGUGGCCUAACCCUUGGGAGGGAGCUGUCGAAGGUGGGAUCGGCGAUUGGGACGAAUGUCGUAACGAGGUACGCCGUACCGGAAGG
rnacentral:rRNA from 1 species